GGAGAAUUGGUUGAACCCGGGAGGCGGAGGUUGCAGUAAGCCGAGACUGCGCCACUGACCUCCAGCCUGGCAACAGAGCGAGACUGCGUCCUGGUUUACAUGGAACAGACCUGGUUUAUUUCUGCUACCCGUGUAUCACAUCUAGUAGAGUCUUUGUUACAGAUACUACAUUGUUUAAACAAAUACUAUUACUUGGCAAUAUAUAGGCUGGACAGGGUUUGACAGAGCUCUUCUUUAUACAUCCUGCUCUUGACAUAGUUGCGUCUAAUACCAUGUGAGAUGGACGUUCGGUGAACAGAGUUCUCCCUGAAACAGAUCAUCAAAUGUGAAAGACAACCAUUGAUAACCUGCCUCUCUUUUCCCAACUCUUUCCUUCUCCUUGAAAGUAAAUGUAAUCAACUUUCCUUUCAAGGACAUAAGGCUGUGUGUCCUGACAUAAUAAAUCAUGUUUGGAUAUGAAAGCUACGGGCAAUUUUUUUUUCAGGCUCAAGUGGUGUUGGGAAAAGUUUUAGAGGCUGCUGCCCCAAGCUGAUUUCUUGUUAUUCCCAUGUCGUGCCAUAAGAAGUACACAAAAGCAUCAGGCCUCCAGGCGAUGCUGAUAAUACCAAAUUCUGGCUAUGAUGUUGAAUGACAGAAAAUCACAUUCAUUGCUGGUGGGUCAAAACUAAUCAUCAUAAAAUCCAGCAUUCGAACUCCUUGAUAUCUACCCCAACGAGUUGAAAAUUUAUGCACACCAAAACUUAGAUAUUUAGAGCAGCCUUAUUCAUAACUGUCAAAACGUGGAAACGGCCAAGAUGUCCUUCGGUAGGUCCUCAGAGAAAUAAACUAGGUUACCUACAGACAAUGGAAUAUUAUCCAGUGCUAAACAUGAAUGAGCUAUCAAGCCAUGAAAAGAUAUGGAGGAGACUUAAAUGCAUAUUAGUAAGUGAAAAAAAGCCAAUCUCAAGAGCUACAGAGUGUAUGAUUUCAACUACGUGACAUUCUAAAAAAGGCAAAGUUAUGGAGACGGUACAGUGGUUGCCAGGAGUUAGGGGUGGGGUUGAGGGGAUGAAUAGGCAGAACACAGAGGAUUUUUAGGACAAUGGACCUAUUCUUUAAGAUACUAUAAUGGUGAAUACAUGUUAUUUUACAUUUCUCCAAACACAUACAAUGUACAGCACCAAGAGUGAAUCCUAACGUAACCUGUGGGCUUUGAUUGGUGACUACGUGUCCUUGUAGGCUUAUAGACUGUAAGCAGUGUGGACCACUCUGGUGUGAAAUGUUGAUAGUGGGAAGUGUUGGGUCCAUGUCGGGGCAGAAGGUCUAUGGGGACUCUGUACUUUCUGCCCAAUUUUGCUAUGAAUCUAAAAUUGCUCUAAUAUAUAAUGUAUUAGAAAAACUUCAUUGAGCACUAAAGCAAAUGCAAUGCAAUAUUUGCUGGCUCACCAAUAGAUGAUUGGUUAUGUCCUCUAGUUUGAAGUUACUCACUUUGACAGCUUUAUUGCCUUUUAAAUAUUUGAAGUUCACUCCUAAUUAGGAACAUAGAAUACCACAGCGUUCAUUUGCAUUAUUUCAGGGUAGACUGUGAUUUCACUAUACUUGGAGUUGUUGUGGGUAGGGAUGUUGUCUCUUUGCAUUCCUAAGACCUAAUGUAAUGUCUCAUACACAGCGGGCACUGGAUUAGUGAUUGUUGAUUGAGAGAGAAAGACUUCUUUAAAAAAGGGUUUUUGUUAAGGAGUCUGGGAAUCAUGGAACCAUAGUGACCAACUGUUACGGACUGGAUUGUAUCCCCCUCCAAUUCAGUUACGGUGCUGCUUCAGAAAGAAAAGAGAUCAUUUCCCUUGCAAAGUUAUCAAAGUGCUUCCCAAAAGGCAUUAGGUAUUUGCUUUCUAGUCUACACACCAUGAAAGGGAAAAAACAUCCGUUCCUGAAGCUCUCUCAAAACAUCAACAAUGGAAAGACGUGCCCAUGUUCUCCCCUCGGGCCACUCUGGGGGCUGGAAAUGCUGCAGCAGGGAGCAGGCCCCAGGCUGCACCUGUCCUGUCCUCAAAAUGCUGUGUGCAAAAGUGAACAGUAAAUCGUUUCAAAGACGCAGGGAAGAAAAACCAAAACAUCAGCAGCAUCUUCUUUCCCAUAAUCUUCAUGCACCUCCUGGUCCGGAUGAGUUCAGGUUCCCAUCUCUAAGCACAGGGAUUGAUUAUGACGGCAUUUAUAGGACUGAGCGCCCCCACACUCUGUGAUCCAGCACGGAAUUAUGAUUUACAUCACCAUAGGAAGAGUACAGAGGCUUAAACAGAAAAAAAAAAGCAAAUUUUCAAGUACAUGCGCAAUGAGUUUGGGGAAGGUAUUAAAAAUGUCUACUAUAUCAGAGAUACGAUCCAAAUGACAAAGCGUUGCCAAUCAAAACAUUUAUGCUUAAAUAGUUUUCAGAAGAUGUGUGCUAGGCAAAACCAUCGUCCUCUGAUUCAAGUUUCACUAAGUUGCUGUCAUGGAGUGAAUAGGAAAUACUUGUACAUGGAAAUGGAUUUUUUUCUGAGUUUUAAAAAGAGAAGUUUUCCAGUUCUUUGACAUUAUCAAAUAUAUUAACCACGAAUAAACAUUACCUUAAUAAAAA